rnacentral:rRNA from 1 species
GAUGAACGCUGGCGGCGUGCCUAAUACAUGCAAGUCGAGCGAACGGACGAGAAGCUUGCUUCUCUGAUGUUAGCGGCGGACGGGUGAGUAACACGUGGAUAACCUACCUAUAAGACUGGGAUAACUUCGGGAAACCGGAGCUAAUACCGGAUAAUAUUUUGAACCGCAUGGUUCAAAAGUGAAAGACGGUCUUGCUGUCACUUAUAGAUGGAUCCGCGCUGCAUUAGCUAGUUGGUAAGGUAACGGCUUACCAAGGCAACGAUGCAUAGCCGACCUGAGAGGGUGAUCGGCCACACUGGAACUGAGACACGGUCCAGACUCCUACGGGAGGCAGCAGUAGGGAACCUUCCGCAAUGGGCGAAAGCCUGACGGAGCAACGCCGCGUGAGUGAUGAAGGUCUUCGGAUCGUAAAACUCUGUUAUUAGGGAAGAACAUAUGUGUAAGUAACUGUGCACAUCUUGACGGUACCUAAUCAGAAAGCCACGGCUAACUACGUGCCAGCAGCCGCGGUAAUACGUAGGUGGCAAGCGUUAUCCGGAAUUAUUGGGCGUAAAGCGCGCGUAGGCGGUUUUUUAAGUCUGAUGUGAAAGCCCACGGCUCAACCGUGGAGGGUCAUUGGAAACUGGAAAACUUGAGUGCAGAAGCGGAAAGUGGAAUUCCAUGUGUAGCGGUGAAAUGCGCAGAGAUAUGGAGGAACACCAGUGGCGAAGGCGACUUUCUGGUCUGUAACUGACGCUGAUGUGCGAAAGCGUGGGGAUCAAACAGGAUUAGAUACCCUGGUAGUCCACGCCGUAAACGAUGAGUGCUAAGUGUUAGGGGGUUUCCGCCCCUUAGUGCUGCAGCUAACGCAUUAAGCACUCCGCCUGGGGAGUACGACCGCAAGGUUGAAACUCAAAGGAAUUGACGGGGACCCGCACAAGCGGUGGAGCAUGUGGUUUAAUUCGAAGCAACGCGAAGAACCUUACCAAAUCUUGACAUCCUUUGACAACUCUAGAGAUAGAGCCUUCCCCUUCGGGGGACAAAGUGACAGGUGGUGCAUGGUUGUCGUCAGCUCGUGUCGUGAGAUGUUGGGUUAAGUCCCGCAACGAGCGCAACCCUUAAGCUUAGUUGCCAUCAUUAAGUUGGGCACUCUAAGUUGACUGCCGGUGACAAACCGGAGGAAGGUGGGGAUGACGUCAAAUCAUCAUGCCCCUUAUGAUUUGGGCUACACACGUGCUACAAUGGACAAUACAAAGGGCAGCGAAACCGCGAGGUCAAGCAAAUCCCAUAAAGUUGUUCUCAGUUCGGAUUGUAGUCUGCAACUCGACUACAUGAAGCUGGAAUCGCUAGUAAUCGUAGAUCAGCAUGCUACGGUGAAUACGUUCCCGGGUCU